rnacentral:rRNA from 1 species
UACGAAGGGGGCUAGCGUUGCUCGGAAUCACUGGGCGUAAAGCGCACGUAGGCGGGUCUUUAAGUCAGGGGUGAAAUCCUGGAGCUCAACUCCAGAACUGCCUUUGAUACUGAGGAUCUCGAGUCCGGGAGAGGUGAGUGGAACUCCGAGUGUAGAGGUGAAAUUCGUAGAUAUUCGGAAGAACACCAGUGGCGAAGGCGGCUCACUGGCCCGUUACCGACGCUCAGGCGCGACAGCGUGGGGAGCAAACAGG